rnacentral:rRNA from 1 species
CAGUAGCCACGGUAAUACGAAGGGUGCAAGCGUUACUCGGAAUUACUGGGCGUAAAGCGUGCGUAGGUGGUGGUUUAAGUCCGUUGUGAAAGCCCUGGGCUCAACCUGGGAAUUGCAGUGGAUACUGGGUCACUAGAGUGUGGUAGAGGAUAGUGGAAUUUCCGGUGUAGCAGUGAAAUGCGUAGAGAUCGGAAGGAACAUCUGUGGCGAAGGCGACUAUCUGGGCCAACACUGACACUGAGGCACGGAAGCGUGGGGAGCAAACAGGAUUAGAUACCCCAGUAGUCCCUGUCUCUUAUAC